GCGUGCUAAUACAUGCAAGUAGAACGCUGAAGAGAGGAGCUUGCUCUUCUUGGAUGAGUUGCGAACGGGUGAGUAACGCGUAGGUAACCUGCCUUGUAGCGGGGGAUAACUAUUGGAAACGAUAGCUAAUACCGCAUAACAAUGGGUGACACAUGUCAUUUAUUUGAAAGGGGCAAUUGCUCCACUACAAGAUGGACCUGCGUUGUAUUAGCUAGUAGGUGAGGUAACGGCUCACCUAGGCGACGAUACAUAGCCGACCUGAGAGGGUGAUCGGCCACACUGGGACUGAGACACGGCCCAGACUCCUACGGGAGGCAGCAGUAGGGAAUCUUCGGCAAUGGGGGGAACCCUGACCGAGCAACGCCGCGUGAGUGAAGAAGGUUUUCGGAUCGUAAAGCUCUGUUGUUAAGGAAGAACGUGUGUGAGAGUGGAAAGUUCACACAGUGACGGUACUUAACCAGAAAGGGACGGCUAACUACGUGCCAGCAGCCGCGGUAAUACGUAGGUCCCGAGCGUUGUCCGGAUUUAUUGGGCGUAAAGCGAGCGCAGGCGGUUAGAUAAGUCUGAAGUGAAAGGCAGUGGCUCAACCAUUGUAGGCUUUGGAAACUGUUUAACUUGAGUGCAGAAGGGGAGAGUGGAAUUCCAUGUGUAGCGGUGAAAUGCGUAGAUAUAUGGAGGAACACCGGUGGCGAAAGCGGCUCUCUGGUCUGUAACUGACGCUGAGGCUCGAAAGCGUGGGGAGCGAACAGGAUUAGAUACCCUGGUAGUCCACGCCGUAAACGAUGAGUGCUAGGUGCUAGGUCCUUUCCGGGACUUAGUGCCGCAGCUAACGCAUUAAGCACUCCGCCUGGGGAGUACGA
rnacentral:rRNA from 1 species